rnacentral:rRNA from 1 species
AUUCACGGCCUAUCAGCUUGUUGGUAAGGUAAAAGCUUACCAAGGCUAUGACGGGUAGCGGGUGUGAGAGCAUGGCCCGCCUCACUGGGACUGAGACACUGCCCAGACUCCUACGGGAGGCUGCAGUCAAGAAUAUUCCGCAAUGCCCGCAAGGGUGACGGAGCGACGCCGCGUGACCGAUGAAGCCCCUCGGGGUGUAAAGGUCUUUUCUUAGGGACGAACAAAUGACGGUACCUAAGGAAUAAGGGGCUGCUAAACUCGUGCCAGCAGCAGCGGUAAUACGAGUGCCCCUAGCGUUAACCGGAUUUAUUGGGCGUAAAGCGUGCGAAGGCUGCCUGUUAAGUUAAAAGUUAAAGACCGAAGCUCAACUUCGGAAGGGCUUUUGAUACUGGCAGGCUAGAGGCUGGGAGAGGCAAGCGGAAUUGCCGGUGUAGGGGUAAAAUCCGUUAAUAUCGGCAGGAACACCAAAUGCGAAGGCAGCUUGCUGGAACAGUCCUGACGCUGUUGCACGAAAGCGUGGGGAGCGAAGAGGAUUAGAUACCCUCGUAGUCCACGCCGUAAACGAUGGGCACUAGACAUAAUCGUCCGACCCCGCCAGGCCCCCCA